AAAAACAGUGAUCAAAGGUGACGCAGCAUCAAACUUAUUAAUAAUAUUAUUAUCACUAUCAAUGAUAUGAUGGAUCACUAUUAUUGAUCCAACAAUCCUUUGAAAUUGAAAAUAAAAAGAAGCAUAUCAUUAUCAUCUAUCUACACAAGCUAGCUAGCUGAGUGAGAGUGCGUGACAGAGUGGAGAAAAUGGCGAUAACAGUACCAAGUAUACAAUUAUUCAUUGAUGGAGAGUGGAAAGCUCCUAUCCUCAAUAUAAGAAUUCCAAUCAUCAAUCCCUCCACUGAAAACAUCAUAGGUAUGUACAUACCUUAAUCACUCUUAUGAUCUUCUCUUGCAAUAUACUAUAGGAGUAUAUCACUUUCUAAUAAUUUUAUUUGAUGAAAUCAAGUAUGAUGAAGUAUAUAUGAUAAUAAUAUUUAAUAUAACUACUUCUAAGUUGUGGCAUUAUGUGAAUGCUUGAUAUACAUGCAGG
rnacentral:lncRNA from 1 species